rnacentral:rRNA from 1 species
CAUUAUCAUACAAACAAGAGGUGUCAGGGCUGUCGCUGACCAAGGGGUCGUGCACGCCCUGGGCAUCCUCACACAAUCCACCUUACCUUUGUGCAUCAUCGCGUGGGGCCCUUCUAAAAAGGGGCCUGCGUUUUUCACACAGACGCCACAGUAUAGAAUGUUUUGUUUUGCAGUCACAUGCAAUCAAUAUAACUUUCAACAACGGAUCUCUUGGCUCUCGCAUCGAUGAAGAACGCAGCGAAAUGCGAUACGUAAUGUGAAUUGCAGAAUUCAGUGAAUCAUCGAAUCUUUGAACGCAUCUUGCGCCCCUUGGCAUUCCGAGGGGCACACCCGUUUGAGCGUCGUGAAACUCUCAACCCUUCUCCCUUUCUCAUCAAACUGGGAGGAAGGCUUGGACUUUGGAGGCUUUUGCCGGUCUCAUCCCUCUUAGAGCCGGCUCCUCUUAAAGGAAUUAGCAGGGUCUCAUUUGCUGAUCCUUGACGUGAUAAUAUUUGACGUCUUUUUGAGAGGCAGAGACCUUGCUUCCAACAGUCUCAUUGAGGGACACCAGUGAGAUCAAAGAUCCCACUAAACCCCCAUUGACCUCAAAUCGGGUGAGAUUACCCGCUGAACUUAAGCAUAUCAAUAAGCGGAGGAAAAGAAACUAACAAGGAUUCCCCUAGUAACUGCGAGUGAAGCGGGAAAGGCUCAAAUUUAAAAUCUGAUGGUCUUUGAUCGUCCGAGUUGUAAUCUAGAGAAGCGUCUUCCGCGCCGGACCAUGCACAAGUCUCCUGGAACGGAGCGUCAUAGAGGGUGAGAAUCCCGUCUUUGGCAUGGGGA